GCGAUACAGGGUGACAGCCCCGUACACAAAAAUGCACAUGCUGUGAGCUCGAUGAGUAGGGCGGGACACGUGGUAUCCUGUCUGAAUAUGGGGGGACCAUCCUCCAAGGCUAAAUACUCCUGACUGACCGAUAGUGAACCAGUACCGUGAGGGAAAGGCGAAAAGAACCCCGGCGAGGGGAGUGAAAAAGAACCUGAAACCGUGUACGUACAAGCAGUGGGAGCACGCUUAGGCGUGUGACUGCGUACCUUUUGUAUAAUGGGUCAGCGACUUAUAUUCUGUAGCAAGGUUAACCGAAUAGGGGAGCCGAAGGGAAACCGAGUCUUAACUGGGCGUUAAGUUGCAGGGUAUAGACCCGAAACCCGGUGAUCUAGCCAUGGGCAGGUUGAAGGUUGGGUAACACUAACUGGAGGACCGAACCGACUAAUGUUGAAAAAUUAGCGGAUGACUUGUGGCUGGGGGUGAAAGGCCAAUCAAACCGGGAGAUAGCUGGUUCUCCCCGAAAGCUAUUUAGGUAGCGCCUCGUGAAUUCAUCUCCGGGGGUAGAGCACUGUUUCGGCAAGGGGGUCAUCCCGACUUACCAACCCGAUGCAAACUGCGAAUACCGGAGAAUGUUAUCACGGGAGACACACGGCGGGUGCUAACGUCCGUCGUGAAGAGGGAAACAACCCAGACCGCCAGCUAAGGUCCCAAAGUCAUGGUUAAGUGGGAAACGAUGUGGGAAGGCCCAGACAGCCAGGAUGUUGGCUUAGAAGCAGCCAUCAUUUAAAGAAAGCGUAAUAGCUCACUGGUCGAGUCGGCCUGCGCGGAAGAUGUAACGGGGCUAAACCAUGCACCGAAGCUGCGGCAGCGACGCUUAUGCGUUGUUGGGUAGGGGAGCGUUCUGUAAGCCUGUGAAGGUGUACUGUGAGGUAUGCUGGAGGUAUCAGAAGUGCGAAUGCUGACAUAAGUAACGAUAAAGCGGGUGAAAAGCCCGCUCGCCGGAAGACCAAGGGUUCCUGUCCAACGUUAAUCGGGGCAGGGUGAGUCGACCCCUAAGGCGAGGCCGAAAGGCGUAGUCGAUGGGAAACAGGUUAAUAUUCCUGUACUUGGUGUUACUGCGAAGGGGGGACGGAGAAGGCUAUGUUGGCCGGGCGACGGUUGUCCCGGUUUAAGCGUGUAGGCUGGUUUUCCAGGCAAAUCCGGAAAAUCAAGGCUGAGGCGUGAUGACGAGGCACUACGGUGCUGAAGCAACAAAUGCCCUGCUUCCAGGAAAAGCCUCUAAGCAUCAGGUAACAUCAAAUCGUACCCCAAACCGACACAGGUGGUCAGGUAGAGAAUACCAAGGCGCUUGAGAGAACUCGGGUGAAGGAACUAGGCAAAAUGGUGCCGUAACUUCGGGAGAAGGCACGCUGAUAUGUAGGUGAAGUCCCUCGCGGAUGGAGCUGAAAUCAGUCGAAGAUACCAGCUGGCUGCAACUGUUUAUUAAAAACACAGCACUGUGCAAACACGAAAGUGGACGUAUACGGUGUGACGCCUGCCCGGUGCCGGAAGGUUAAUUGAUGGGGUUAGCGCAAGCGAAGCUCUUGAUCGAAGCCCCGGUAAACGGCGGCCGUAACUAUAACGGUCCUAAGGUAGCGAAAUUCCUUGUCGGGUAAGUUCCGACCUGCACGAAUGGCGUAAUGAUGGCCAGGCUGUCUCCACCCGAGACUCAGUGAAAUUGAACUCGCUGUGAAGAUGCAGUGUACCCGCGGCAAGACGGAAAGACCCCGUGAACCUUUACUAUAGCUUGACACUGAACAUUGAGCCUUGAUGUGUAGGAUAGGUGGGAGGCUUUGAAGUGUGGACGCCAGUCUGCAUGGAGCCGACCUUGAAAUACCACCCUUUAAUGUUUGAUGUUCUAACGUUGACCCGUAAUCCGGGUUGCGGACAGUGUCUGGUGGGUAGUUUGACUGGGGCGGUCUCCUCCUAAAGAGUAACGGAGGAGCACGAAGGUUGGCUAAUCCUGGUCGGACAUCAGGAGGUUAGUGCAAUGGCAUAAGCCAGCUUGACUGCGAGCGUGACGGCGCGAGCAGGUGCGAAAGCAGGUCAUAGUGAUCCGGUGGUUCUGAAUGGAAGGGCCAUCGCUCAACGGAUAAAAGGUACUCCGGGGAUAACAGGCUGAUACCGCCCAAGAGUUCAUAUCGACGGCGGUGUUUGGCACCUCGAUGUCGGCUCAUCACAUCCUGGGGCUGAAGUAGGUCCCAAGGGUAUGGCUGUUCGCCAUUUAAAGUGGUACGCGAGCUGGGUUUAGAACGUCGUGAGACAGUUCGGUCCCUAUCUGCCGUGGGCGCUGGAGAACUGAGGGGGGCUGCUCCUAGUACGAGAGGACCGGAGUGGACGCAUCACUGGUGUUCGGGUUGUCAUGCCAAUGGCACUGCCCGGUAGCUAAAUGCGGAAGAGAUAAGUGCUGAAAGCAUCUAAGCACGAAACUUGCCCCGAGAUGAGUUCUCCCUGACUCCUUGAGAGUCCUGAAGGAACGUUGAAGACGACGACGUUGAUAGGCCGGGUGUGUAAGCGCAGCGAUGCGUUGAGCUAACCGGUACUAAUGAACCGUGAGGCUUAACCUUACAACGCCGAAGGUGUUU
rnacentral:rRNA from 1 species